rnacentral:rRNA from 1 species
GACGAACGCUGGCGGCAUGCCUAACACAUGCAAGUCGAACGGAGAUUACUUCGGUAAUCUUAGUGGUGAACGGGUGAGUAACGCGUGGGCAACCUGCCCUCUAGAUGGGGACAACAUCCCGAAAGGGGUGCUAAUACCGAAUGUGACAGCGAUCUCGCAUGAGGAUGCUGUGAAAGAUGGCCUCUAUUUAUAGCUAUCGCUAGAGGAUGGGCCUGCGUCUGAUUAGCUAGUUGGUGGGGUAACGGCCUACCAAGGCGAUGAUCAGUAGCCGGUCUGAGAGGAUGAACGGCCACAUUGGGACUGAGACACGGCCCAGACUCCUACGGGAGGCAGCAGUGGGGAAUCUUCCGCAAUGGGCGAAAGCCUGACGGAGCAAUGCCGCGUGAGUGAUGAAGGAAUUCGUUCCGUAAAGCUCUUUUGUUUAUGACGAAUGUGCAGGUUGUGAAUAAUGAUCUGCAAUGACGGUAGUAAACGAAUAAGCCACGGCUAACUACGUGCCAGCCGCCGCAGUAAGAC